rnacentral:rRNA from 1 species
CCUUCGGGGUGAGUGGCGCACGGGUGCGUAACGCGUGGGAACCUGCCCUUAGGUUUGGAAUAACAGUGAGAAAUCGCUGCUAAUACCAAAUAAUGUCUUCGGACCAAAGAUUUAUCGCCUUUGGAUGGGCCCGCGUUGGUUUAGCUAGUUGGUGGGGUAAAGGCUCACCAAGGCGACGAUCCAUAGCUGGUCUUAGAGGAUGAUCAGCCACACUGGGACUGAGACACGGCCCAGACUCCUACGGGAGGCAGCAGUGGGGAAUAUUGGACAAUGGGCGAAAGCCUGAUCCAGCAAUGCCGCGUGAGUGAUGAAGGCCUUAGGGUUGUAAAGCUCUUUUACCAGGGAUGAUAAUGACAGUACCUGGAGAAUAAGCUCCGGCUAACUCCGUGCCAGCAGCCGC